rnacentral:rRNA from 1 species
UGGUAUAUUAAGUGUAUAUGAAAAUUGUCCAAGAAAUAUUUAAUUUAAUGUAACCGUACUUAAACCGACACAGGUGAAUUGGUAGAGUAUACUAAAGCGAUUGGAAGAACAAUUUUGAAGGAACUCGGCAAAUUGAUUCCGUAACUUCGGGAGAAG